rnacentral:rRNA from 1 species
CAGCAGCCGCGGGAAUACGGAGGGAGCUAGCGUUGUUCGGAAUCACUGGGCGUAAAGCGCACGUAGGCGGCUAUUCAAGUCAGGGGUGAAAGCCCGGGGCUCAACCCCGGAACUGCCUUUGAAACUAGAUAGCUUGAAUCUUGGAGAGGCGAGUGGAAUUCCGAGUGUAGAGGUGAAAUUCGUAGAUAUUCGGAAGAACACCAGUGGCGAAGGCUGCUUACUGGCUCAUUCUAGACGCUGAGGUGCGAAAGCGUGGGGAGCAAACAGGAUUAGAGACCCGUGUAGUCCCUGUCUCUUAUAC